rnacentral:sRNA from 1 species
AAUUUUUUAGUUCAGCCUUUAUCUCGUUAUCUGCAUGUCUCUAAUUGAGCUUUGUUGCUAAGUUUUAGCUUUUUUUUUUCUUAUGCGAUCACUUUGCUGGUUGUUGUGUUGGUUGGUUCGGUUCCUUGUACCUUUGAUGUAUCCUCUAUUUCUCUUUUUAUCU